GCCGAGCUACAAAGAGAAAACGAUAAUGGAGGCACCAAAAUGCAUGUCCGCCCGUCCGGAGAGGCCAAUUGCAUGAUAUGUAUUCUAUGCGGCUGUUAAGCCUGAGGGCGUCCGUGCCGAGGCCCUGAACUCGACACCACCACGUCGACUGCUGUCUCUCCAUGUUUUAGGUCCGCUGCAAGAAAAGCUGCUCCUGAUUGGCUUUGCAGAAGACACUUUGGUGUUGAUUCUGCCGGGCAAGAGAAAAACGUGUGCGUGGCGUCACUUCUCUUUCAUGAGGUGUACAACAUAACCGCCCUCUGUUAUCUUCGAUGUGGGAACAAGCUUCGCCGACUGCCGUUGCAGCUAACGGUUUCUGGCCUGUCUCCACUGUAUAGCCGUUCCUUCUUGGUAGACACACGUACCCUAUCCUCGAGAAAACGAAGGCGUGUCGGUACGUGGAUUGGGCCGGUUCAAGAUGGGGUGUGCGCACUCGAAAAAAAGGCGCAAGCAGGGGCCCAAGGUCACCAAAAUGGCGGCCGCCUUCGAGCGUGGCACAGUGGGAAACGAUACGUCACAAGCUAGGAAUGCUACCGCGGAGAGAAGGAUGCGACAGGAGCAGUUGAACAGGCUAAGGAAUCAAAAGACUCAUAAAAUGCGGAAGCAGGCGGCCGCGAAAGAAAUAGCCAACUGUUUCAAGGACAAGCCUCCGACUGGAGGCGGAGCGCCUCCACAGUGCCGAGGACGAGCAUAAUUCGUCAUGUUUGUACAGCUCUUUUUCAACAGGUAUCUCUCCUUUCGUGACAACCAGAGCGAGGUUUUGUGGUCAUCAAGUGUUGGUAAUUUGUUGGAAACUCUUAGCUUCUUGGACACCCCGUGAUUGCACUGCUCUUCGGUUGCCCAAUGAGGGACGCUCAGUAGUUUUUUUUGAUGUCGUUCGAGAUUCUGUUUUAAGAGUUAAGGCUUAAGAACUCGCCCCGAGCCGUCCGAUUGCCAGUAAGAAGUAAUCCCAUACUUAUCAUCGCGAAUGAAGUGUUUUUACGCGCCCAUUUUAGUUCCCGGAGAAUGCAUACUACCUUUGUCUGCAAUUCAAUGCAAGAGGGUCAGUUUCUGGCCAACUGCAGCUUUUCUGGGCGCUCGAUUAGUGUUUUAACGUGCAUUUUCAAGAUAUCCAUAUACUUCCAGAAGAGUUCUAUGUACGGACUCAUAAAGGCAACUACGGUUUGGGUUCGCUGGUUUUGGUGCUGCACAUGUACUCGGUCUUCCUGUGCGGUAUGCUCGUUUUUCGUAAAUUAGUCCCGAGACAACGUUCCGAGGUUCAACAAUUUGCCAAGCAAAGUUGCUCUCUGGGCGCUGC
rnacentral:lncRNA from 1 species